UACGGAGGAUCCAAGCGUUAUCCGGAUUUAUUGGGUUUAAAGGGUGCGUAGGCGGAUAAAUAAGUCAGUGGUGAAAGCCUGCAGCUUAACUGUAGAAUUGCCAUUGAUACUGUUUCUCUUGAAUGUAGUUGAGGUGGGCGGAAUAUGACAUGUAGUGGUGAAAUGCUUAGGUAUGUCAUAGAACACCGAUUGCGAAGGCAGCUCACUAAGCUAUAAUUGACGCUGAGGCACGAAAGCGUGGGGAGCAAACAGG
rnacentral:rRNA from 1 species